UUGUGCUGCUCAGAAAAACCAUGAUCCUCAAGAAUUAUAGCUUCAUAGUUCUCGCGUAUCUGUUGCCAGGCAUUGGGAUCUGAUGGAAUUCUUGCCUGAGCUGACCUUCGACGCUUAUUCUCGAACUCAAUAUUCUUUUCAUAGAGAUGUUGUGCACGCUCCCGUGAUGAAGGAGCAGACAUUUUAUCCAUCUGCACAAUCAUCAUCCAUCAAAUAUAUUUGACGACUAUCAAAUUGCAUUCAUCAGUUGGAACAGAUCUAUAGAGAUUUGUUCUCAUCAGAUUGCGAAUUCGAGAGAUAGACAGAGAGAUUUCGGUUAGGGCUUGUAUGUUUU
rnacentral:misc_RNA from 1 species